AUUGAACGCUGGCGGCAGGCCUAACACAUGCAAGUCGAGCGGAUGAAGGGAGCUUGCUCCUGGAUUCAGCGGCGGACGGGUGUGUAAUGCCUAGGAAUCUGCCUGGUAGUGGGGGAUAACGUCCGGAAACGGGCGCUAAUACCGCAUACGUCCUGAGGGAGAAAGUGGGGGAUCUUCGGACCUCACGCUAUCAGAUGAGCCUAGGUCGGAUUAGCUAGUUGGUGGGGUAAAGGCCUACCAAGGCGACGAUCCGUAACUGGUCUGAGAGGAUGACCAGUCACACUGGAACUGAGACACGGUCCAGACUCCUACGGGAGGCAGCAGUGGGGAAUAUUGGACAAUGGGCGAAAGCCUGAUCCAGCCAUGCCGCGUGUGUGAAGAAGGUCUUCGGAUUGUAAAGCACUUUAAGUUGGGAGGAAGGGCAGUAAGUUAAUACCUUGCUGUUUUGACGUUACCAACAGAAUAAGCACCGGCUAACUUCGUG
rnacentral:rRNA from 1 species